AGAGUUUGAUCCUGGCUCAGAAUCAACGCUGGCGGCGCGCUUAACACAUGCAAGUCGCACGAGAAAGGGAGCAAUCCUAAGUAAAGUGGCGUACGGGUGAGUAACACGUGGAUCAUCUACCUUUUAGUGGGGAAUACCUCCUGGAAACGGGAGACAAUACCGCAUAAGCUCGAGAGAGGAAAGCAGCAAUGCGCUGAAAGAGGAGUCCGCGGCUGAUUAGCUAGUUGGCGGGGUAAUGGCCCACCAAGGCGAAGAUCGGUAGCCGGCCUGAGAGGGCACACGGCCACACUGGCACUGAAACACGGGCCAGACUCCUACGGGAGGCAGCAGUGGGGAAUCUUGCACAAUGGAGGAAACUCUGAUGCAGCGACGCCGCGUGAGCGAUGAAGCCCUUCGGGGUGUAAAGCUCUUUCGACGGGAACGAUAAUGACGGUACCCGAAGAAGAAGCUGCGGCUAACUACGUGCCAGCAGCCGCGGUAAUACGUAGGCAGCGAGCGUUGUUCGGAAUUACUGGGCGUAAAGAGUGUGUAGGUGGUGUUCUAAGUUUGGUGUGAAAUCUCCCGGCUUAACUGGGAGGGUGCGCCGAAAACUGGAAUGCUUGAGUAUGGGAGAGGUAAGCGGAAUUCCUGGUGUAGCGGUGAAAUGCGUAGAUAUCAGGAGGAACACCUGGUGUAGACAGCUUACUGGACCAUCACUGACACUGAGACACGAAAGCGUGGGUAGCAAACAGGAUUAGAUACCCUAGUAGUCC
rnacentral:rRNA from 1 species